CGCCGCGGGCCUGUCAGGUGAGCUCAGCCCCCAGCGCGUGUGAGCCUACGGAACGCUGGGGCUGAGGCGGCAUGGCUCCGGACCGGGGCCUGGCCUCGGCGACACCGUGGCCGCGGGAGAAGCCCAGGACAGGGACCCAGGCGGGGGCUCCCGGCCCCGGUACCGUCGGAGCCCGUCGCUUCCUGCUUUGUCUCUACCUGGUGGGAUUCCUGGCUCCUCCUGCGGCGUUUUGCAGUUCUUUUCCAGCACAUUGGUGUGCACCAUGCUGGUCCUGAGGCCUCGGCGUCCAGUCAUUCGUGCAGUACAAACAGAAUGGUCAGUUUUGUCCCAGGGAUUGAUCAGCUGUGACCUUGGUCUACAUAGCUGGUCUCACAGUUCUGAUGCCCUUCGGACCAGCCUAGGUGGCGCCUUGGGUCGGAUGCCUUCGUUCAUGUGGUCGCCCCGCAUGGAGCUAAAGUGGCCUUUGGAGAGGAGGGGCUGGCAGAGCACGCCUGGGGCCUGGGGGCCCCCCUCUUUGCUGUGGGCAGCUGGGGAGCUGCAGGGCUGCGCUUGCCUGGAAUCAGCAUCUGCCUCGUUCUUCCAUUCCAUUUUAUAGGCCUGGGGGGCUUUCUUUGAGAACUGUUCUGGCAAGAAGCGCCUGGCUCGGGGCUGCAGGUUGAGGACGGUGGUCCCGACGUCUGGGUCUGAGUCACUGCUGUUGCCACCUGCCAGAGAGCAAAAGAAGGACAGCGUGGGCGGGCCUUUUAGGGAGAAGGUGUUACAGGCGACUGGCCAAUACAUUUGUGGGUCUGGCACCUGCUGUGCCCUCCCUGGGGCUCUGGGGGUCGGGCAGGGAGGCCAGAGGGCUCACCCCGACUCCAGCUGAGUCCUGGGCGCGUGCAUAAGUCCCAUGAGCACGCAUAUCCACAAGUGUGUACUCUUGCUAAUUCUGAAGAGCUUCCCAUGUGCCAGCCACUGUCCUAAGCGCUUUUAAAUGCAUUAACCUACUGAAUCCUCAUAACCACCCACUUUACAUAUGAAGUAACCGAGGUUCAAAAGAUAUUAGUAAGUGGUGGAGCUGGAUGUCAAACUGAGACCACCUGGCGGCAGCUGUGCGCUCACCUGCCCCGUCAGAACGGCCCCAGGGGGCUCAGUUCAGUGUCUGGCUCACGGUAAACAGAUCAGUAAUUAGCUGCUAUUAUGAAGACUCUUGUCUUGAUCUAGGAUGUACAAUCUCAUGCACAGCUUUAUUUCCUUUAUAUUUUCAUAAAAUGGUCAGAACACCAAUAUGGCUUGCAAUCUACAUAAAGAUUACCAUCGAAUGAAGAGAUGUUAGCCGUCAUGUCAAAGCUUUAAUAAUUACAGCCAGAAGUCAAUUAUAUAGUUGCCUUUAUGAAAAUAUAUUAAAAUUAUUAUGAACAUUUAAAGUUAGAAAUGUUGUAAGAGUAACAGAAUUAAAUUUAAACCUUUGAAGACUGACAGCUUUCUAUUUACCUGUUCAUCAGCCACACACAGUGACAUCUGCUUUUGCUACAUCGAAUAGAAUCAAAUAACUGAUUGAAUUACGUAUAACGUGCACAGAACGCCAUUCCAAAAGGAUGCAACACUAAUAAAAGGUCACCAAAUUAUUAUUAUAGAUUUGCAAACGACUGAACUCAUUCAUUGUCCUUAAAAGAGAAGGAAAAAUGUUCUAUUUUAUAAACACUAAUAAAUAAGUUUAAAGUCUUUUUGCUCCAGCUGUAUUCAGUACCUGCAUUAGAAAUAUUCUUUUUCUUUUGUAGCUUUUCUGGAAGCUUUGUAUUUUUUGGUAAGGAUAAAUAUCGGGAGGUUGAGGUGGAAACCUGUAAAAAAAAAUAGAAAACCUUGUUUAGAUGACACACAUGUCAUUUAUUGUAUGUUACGGGCUUAGAAUUCUAUGUCAAACCUAACCUUGGUGUUAAAAAUUAAAAUGUUAGCUCUAGAUUCCGAAACUACUGGGUGAGGAGCUGUAGGGAUGGGGAAUAAAUUUCCAAGUAAUAGUCAUUUUAUUUAAAAUAGGUAAAACCUCUCCUAAAAUAUCAUGGAAAUCAGUACUACUAAGGAAAACAGAAAUGAAGUGGGACCCUUAGGAACAAGGUAUGAAAACCACCGGCUUUUCUUAAAGAAAAGCUACAGAAACACCCACUUAUAAAAGCAUUGCUAAAAAAGACUUAGAACCUACAUGGAUAGGGAGGAAGAUACAUGAAAAAUGUAGCAUGUUUAAGUUGUAUUUACUUUCACAAAUCUUGAAAAUGACAGAACAGAAAGUAUUACUAUAGCCAACGUGCUGGCACUUGUGGCAUCCAAAGCCACAGUCUCUAGUUUCUUUAACUUUUAAUCGAUGCUGCCACAUUUCACAUGUAAAAAAAAAUAAUAUUGUGCACACAUAACCGUUUUGGUCUCUGACAGCUCAGUAUAGAACAUUAUUGAGAAUGAGAUGCACUGCCUGCUAUGUCCGAUCAAUCAAUCAGAAUAUCCUUUUAAAGUGGCUUCCUUAUCUAUGGCAAUGCCCUGGGCCAAGUCGAAUGCUGAGCACACAGCAUCUGAAACUCCCCUGACAUGCGCACGUGCACACACACACACACGGCCUCCUAGAAGUUUCCACACAUGCACGCACGGCAGCCCCCCUUCAGGCUGCACCCUCUCCCUGGAAAGGUCAAGACUCCAAAUGAAGCCUGGCCCUUCCAUUCAGUUUAAAACUGUACCCUGACAGGGAUAUCAGCUCCGUGCUUUGUGACCACCUG